rnacentral:tRNA from 3 species
GCCCCCAUAGCUCAACGGAUCAGAGCACGAGCCUUCUAAGCUUGGGAUCCAGGUUCGAUUCCUGGUGGGGGCA